AGUGAAAGAGCAAGUGGUAAUGGGAAAGGAGAAGGUGGAAGAUAUAAGACCAAACUGUUACAAGGAGGGAGUUAAAUCAAAUGCAAGAUGUGGAUUAUUAUUGUCUCAAGAGAUAUGUAACAGCCUACCUAUCCAGUGAAUGCCUGGAGAAAGCAGCUGCUCUGCUCCUCAAGCCUCAACUCACUGAGGCACAGGCCAAGAUGCCGAAAAAGCCGACUCGCUCCACCAGCUUCUCAACAGACAGCUUGGCACGGUCCAGGAAGGACAUGUCCUCUGGCCGCUCUUUCAACCGCUGCAGUUCCUCAAACUCUGCCAUCUCCUCAUCAUCAGGGUCGUAGCCAGACAGCCGGGCCCCUCGUGCCAUGAAGUAUGGAGGCAACUCACCUGAUGAAUAUUCAAAUGUAAAGAAGAGCAAACAAGUGACAGGAGGGGACAGGGAGGAAGGGUGAAGCAGCAGCUCACCCAGCGCUGUGCCAGCUCCCCACAUAAAGGCCUCAAGGCGGACUUUGGACAUGAUGGUAAGGAUGGACAUCUCCUUCCCCAGGACCUCUUCCUCAGGA